UACGUAGGGGGCAAGCGUUGUCCGGAUUCAUUGGGCGUAAAGAGCUCGUAGGCGGUUCGCUAAGUCAGGUGUGAAAUCUCCGUGCUCAACACGGAGCGGCCACCUGAUACUGGCGUGACUCGAGUCCGGUAGGGGAGUAUGGAAUUCCCGGUGUAGCGGUGAAAUGCGCAGAUAUCGGGAGGAACACCAGUGGCGAAGGCGGUACUCUGGGCCGGAACUGACGCUGAGGAGCGAAAGCGUGGGGAGCAAACAGG
rnacentral:rRNA from 1 species